rnacentral:ncRNA from 2 species
UACGUAGGUGGCAAGCGUUGUCCGGAUUUAUUGGGUUUAAAGGGUGCGUAGGCGGAUGCUUAAGUCAGGGGUGAAAGACGGCCGCUCAACGGUCGCAGUGCCUUUGAUACUGGGCAUCUUGAGUGCAGACGAGGUCUGUGGAAUGGAUGGUGUAGCGGUGAAAUGCUUAGAUACCAUCCAGAACACCAAUUGCGAAGGCAGCAGACUAGGGUGCAACUGACGCUGAGGCACGAAAGUGCGGGGAUCAAACAGG